AACACACACACACACAAACA
rnacentral:miRNA from 1 species